rnacentral:rRNA from 1 species
AACUUUUAACAACGGAUCUCUUGGCUCUGGCAUCGAUGAAGAACGCAGCGAAAUGCGAUAAGUAUUGUGAAUUGCAGAAUCCAGUGAAUCAUCGAAUCUUUGAACGCACAUUGCGCCCGCCGGAAUUCCGGCGGGCAUGCCUGUUCGAGCGUCAU